AAAGCCGGCCAGAUCAAAGCGGUGCCCAUCCCUCCGUCGAACGUUCCUGGCCCCCUAUCUUUUUCUCUCUCAUCUGCUCUCUGUUUCGAGAAAAUUUUCGUGUUCAAGCUUCUCCGCUGGCGGUGGGCUGUGGGUCAAGCGCUACUCUGACGUCGAGGCCGUGCCCGAGGCGCCACCGCGUACUCUGAUCUACCUCCACCUCCGCCUCGGACGAUGACAACGACCACCUACAGGCCGCAGCGCCGCCGACGGGACAGCUAUCCCGCGGUGGAGGCGGCGCUCGACGUGUGGGCGUCCGUGCGGGAGCGGCAUAGGACCAUUCUCCGGCUGGUGGGCCUCAACAGGGACACCUCCCUCGCCCGUCUCGAGAUGCGUUGAUAGGUCUCCUACGACGGGCCCAUCCAGCCGGCGGCGGUCUCGCCUAUGUUCUGAAUCCUAAUCCAGAUCGGACGCCGCUGUGUUGGCCUCCACCACCAAGUCGCCGUUCGUGGGCUGCAGACCUUCGACAUCGCCCGGUUCCUCCGAAGCCACGCCAAAGGCCGAGGACGCGGAUACCAGGUGCCUGUCCGGCUAUCCGGGUUCGUCCUCGACGAUGGCGCGUCACCCGCUGCAGCGGAGGUGGGCACGGCCAGAGAGCAAGGUGCCAUGGCUGCCGCCCUCGCGUCGUCUUUUGAUGCGGCUAGGACGGCCACUCAUGCCGCCGCUAGGUAUGUCGUGUCCGAGCUGCACGGCCUCUGCUUCGGCCGCUUUCCCUGCUGGCCACCGCGGAAGAUGCACUGCGAGCCGUGCCACACAGGCCAGCCAGCCCCCUCAUGCUGCCAAGCGCGGCCGUUGCGCUCACCUGCCGCCUCCGCCGUCGCACCCGUCCGAUGAGUGGCUACUUGCCUACUUCGUCAGGUCAGUACCCCGUCCCUUUUAACUGUUUUUUUUAUCAUGCUGGAGGUAAUUUAGUGCUAUAUGUGAUACAUGAAACAGAGUUACAGACCGGAAUGGCUUAUGGUUGCCUUCUAUCAGAUGGUGAUGUUUAUCCGUUUGAAAUUCCUGCAUCCCUGUUGUAUUUUUUUAUAUCAUGAAUGUAUCUAUAGGAAUCCUUCUGCAAUGUCGUCAGGAAUUCUGAACGUUUAUCCUAUGGAGCAUACCCAUUCUAUAUUGGCCGACAAGUUGAUAUAGUCAUGCAUAGCCCUUCAGGAUAGUCAUUUAGAAUUUCUCAAUCAUUGGCUCUUAAUAUUUUGCUCACGUAGAUAAGAAGGAUAUAAAAAAUCAUUAUUGCAGGAUGUCUCCCAUAUACAAUGGAAAAUUCAGACAUUAUUGUUCUGCUGCAAUUUUUCCAGAGAAUUUAAAGAAUAUCUAGGUUUCUCCAGGGUUUAAGUUUCAAACAUACGUUGAUUUCAAGGAAGGGAUGCAGGUACAAUGGUCAUAUCUAUAGUAGUUAGGGGUCUUACCUUAUUUGAUCUGCUGAAAAUUGUCCUUGGCAAAGAAACUGAGAAUUCAUAUGUUAGGAAGAGAGUAUGUUUUCCAAUUUCAGAAUUAUGAAGAUCAAGUAUAUUCUUUAAUCUCAGAAUUAUGCAGAAAGAUUAUAUUCUUUGACUGCAUACAAGGGUAAAUUUAGAGGUUCCAGCAUGGAGUCCAAAUUAAUUUUGCUAUUUUUGGAUGAAGUGCAAGGAAAUUCUGCUUUUUGUAGGUCUUAGGGAUACUCUACUUGACUAAUUUUGUUUUGCAUGUUUUGGUUCUACCAUCGGCAUAGUUCUGAAAUAUGGCACGUCUAUUCUCAAAAAAGGUGUCGAGGUAAGUAAUAUGGUACUCUAUUUAGUGCAAAAUUUAAGUUUUCACUCAAUCACUAACCAUAGAAGUAUAUACAAGAGCCAUAGUGACAAUGAAGCAAGACUCAGUUUCGUCUCAUUUCCCCCUACCACUGAUUUGAUAAUUGUCAUUCCUCUUCUUUGCACUUAUAUGAAUAAAGAGUGAGCAAAUAUAUAUCUCAGUGGACCGUGGUCUUCAUCUUAUUUUUAUAGAUGUUCAUGUGAGAUCCCAUAAAAAAAUUCCCUAUUUUCAGUUGAGCUGUUUUGUUACUACUUUUCUAGGAAGUUCAUGUUACAUUUGCAAAGCAUUAUAGACAAGUACGACAUCUCUUUACCACUGGCAGUAAUGUAGUCAUGUUCUCGGAAAUUCAUGUCGCAUGCACAGAUAUAAUAACAUCGAAUAUGACAUCUCUUUUUUGUUGGGAGCAUAAUAAUCAGGUUAUGUAAAGAUAAGCUUCUAACAGUGUUUCUGCAGUGAGUUGAUCAAACUUUCUCAGUUACAGGAGGCCUGUUGUGAUAUUGAUACCGCUAUCGAAUAUAUUGUGGUCAUUCUCAGUUUUAACAUCUGACCGGAACUGUUCCUGGAGUAUGAUAAGACUGUUCUGCUGAUAACACAUUCUGGUGAUAAUACUAGCAUGGUAAAUCCUUCUAAUGCACAGUAACGUCCAAAGAGGUAUUUACAAGCUCUUUCUAUAUUUAAAAUUUAAAAUAUCAGUGCAAUUUACAGUUAGUGGAUUUUGACGUCAUAUGUUGUAAAUAUGACUAGCAUCCUUUUUCCGGACUGCAAUGCUUAGUACUGCACUUCUUCUGCAAGCGAUUUCUUACCUGGUGAAAAUCCCAUCGAGUGAUUUGUCUGUAUGAGAUGACAACUCUGAUCCGAAUCUGCUUGGAUUUAAGUGACAACAAAAAGUAUUCUCUGAUUAUUUGAAGUUGCAAACCUGAUGGGAAUAGGCAAGCUAAUACUCUUACUUUUUUCUGGCUAUUCUUUGUGAUGUGAUCCAGAUCUGCUUGGAUUUAAGUGACAGGAAAGAGUAUUCUCUGAUUAUUUGAAGUGGAAAACCUGAUGGAAGUCCACCGAUUGUGUCAAAGUUCCUGAAAAUGGCACACCACAAGGUUCAUCUUCACAUGAUGCACUUACAUCUCUAUUUCUCAACAAGUAUACUAUUUUUGUGGACAAGGGUCAGUAUCUUCAUGGGAUAACUAACUAGAAGGUAUAAAUAUAAGACUGACCCUGCUACAUCUAAAAGCGGUGAAAUUCAACCGACUGAAUGCUAUAUUUUACCAAACUUGCUUGACCUGGGGACUAUUCAGAAUUUCAGAUGUACACUUUAUGCGGUGGUUCUACACCCCAACCAUCAUACUUACUUUGCAAAUCACGUGUGCGUUUAUUGAAGAAAAUGUGGAUGUUCUGUUUAGGUGAAGCUACUAAGUGAAUGCAUUUUUGCUGUAUCUUGCCCAAGAUAAUCACGGAUAAAUAAGAUUAAUACAGUGAACACCCAACUGCAGUUUGGUUGGAUGUAAGAUGCAGCAUAUUCCGUUUAAGUGAAAAUUGUAGUCAACUAUUAUAUACACAGUGCAAGUUUCAAUCAGCUUAUGACGUGCUUUCUCACUUCCGUCUUUGCCCUUUAUAGAUGCGAUCAGUUCAUGUUUUCCCUUAUGCUCUUCUUUUCAGUUACUUUGCCGUGUACUUCUCACCAAUUUAAUCAGCAUACCUAUACUGUUCUGAGUGUGACGCAAGUGAGCAGUUCUGCAUCUCGAAUAGUUGGACGGCCGUGUCUCUUCUUUUUGUUUACUUUUCAUCUGAUGAAGUUUUCUCUGACGGAUUCUCCUUUGUACGGAAGAACACUUGGAUUUUUGGGUGCCACUUCUAUCAAAUCGAAGACUAAAAUGGUUCAGGCAGCCUCACAUCUUAUAUUAGGGAAGAGAUUGUAUUUGUGUAAGGUAUCAUGGGUGAAGCACAUAAUUUUUCCUAACCAAGCUACCCCUGCCUUCUUCAGUA